UUAAGGGCAGUUACUGGUAACGUUAGCUUUGGGAGCUAUUAAGUAGACUACUGUCUACCUUUAUG
rnacentral:tRNA from 1 species